rnacentral:rRNA from 1 species
AGUGAACGCUGGCGGUAGGCCUAACACAUGCAAGUCGAACGGCAGCACAGUAAGAGCUUGCUCUUACGGGUGGCGAGUGGCGGACGGGUGAGGAAUACAUCGGAAUCUACUUUUUCGUGGGGGAUAACGUAGGGAAACUUACGCUAACACCGCAUACGACCUACGGGUGAAAGCAGGGGAUCUUCGGACCUUGCGCGAUUGAAUGAGCCGAAGUCGGAUUAGCUAGUUGGCGGGGUAAAGGCCCACCAAGGCGACGAUCCGUAGCUGGUCUGAGAGGAUGAUCAGCCACACUGGAACUGAGACACGGUCCAGACUCCUACGGGAGGCAGCAGUGGGGAAUAUUGGACAAUGGGCGCAAGCCUGAUCCAGCCAUACCGCGUGGGUGAAGAAGGCCUUCGGGUUGUAAAGCCCUUUUGUUGGGAAAGAAAAGCAGCAGGUUAAUACCCCGCUGUUCUGACGGUACCCAAAGAAUAAGCACCGGCUAACUUCGUG